rnacentral:rRNA from 1 species
GACAGAGGCCUCGAGCGUUAGGCGGAAUCACUGGGCUUAAAGCGUGUGUAGGCGGAUCGUUAAGUGCCUUGUGAAAUCCCACGGCUUAACUGUGGAACGGCUGGGCAUACUGGCGGUCUUGAGCCAUCUAGGGGCGACUGGAACAAACGGUGGAGCGGUGAAAUGCGUAGAUAUUGUGAGGAACACUAGUGGCGAAGGCGAGACUCUGGACAGUUCCUGACGCUGAGGCACGGAGGCCAGGGGAGCAAACGGG